rnacentral:pre_miRNA from 1 species
UGUUUACACUUGAUAAAAAUGAUUUCCCAAUUCUGAAUUCCGAAUUCUGAAUUCUGAAUGCCGAAUUCUGAAUGCUGAAUUCUGAAUUCAGAAUUGGGAAAUCAUUUUUAUCA